UACGGGGGGGGCAAGCGUUGUUCGGAAUUACUGGGCGUAAAGGGCGCGUAGGCGGCCUGCUAAGUCGGACGUGAAAUCCCCCGGCUCAACCGGGGAACUGCGUCCGAUACUGGUGGGCUCGAAUCCGGGAGAGGGAUGUGGAAUUCCUGGUGUAGCGGUGAAAUGCGCAGAUAUCAGGAGGAACACCAGCGGCGAAGGCGGCGCUCUGGGCCGGUACUGACACUGAGGAGCGAAAGCGUGGGUAGCAAACAGG
rnacentral:rRNA from 1 species